UGGGGGAUAACGUAGCGAAAGCUACGCUAAUACGCAUACUAUCUAUGGAUGAAANCGGGGGAUCGCAAGACCUCGCGCGAUUGGAGCGGCCGAUAUCAGAUUAGGUAGUUGGUGAGGUAAAGGCUCACCAAGCCGACGAUCUGUAGCUAGUCUGAGAGGACGACCAGCCACACUGGGACUGAGACACGGCCCAGACUCCUACGGGAGGCAGCAGUGGGGAAUUUUGGACAAUGGGCGCAAGCCUGAUCCAGCAAUGCCGCGUGCAGGAUGAAGGCCUUCGGGUUGUAAACUGCUUUUGUACGGAACGAAACGGUGAGCUCUAAUACAGUUUGCUAAUGACGGUACCGUAAGAAUAAGCACCGGCUAACUACGUG
rnacentral:rRNA from 1 species